rnacentral:rRNA from 1 species
AAAGGAAUUGACGGGGGCCCGCACAAGCAGUGGAGCAUGUGGUUUAAUUCGACGCAACGCGCAGAACCUUACCAGGGCUUGACAUCCCCUGACAGCUGUGGAAACACGGUUUUCUGGCUUAGGUCAGACAGGGAGACAGGUGCUGCAUGGUUGUCGUCAGCUCGUGUCGUGAGAUGUUGGGUUAAGUCCCGCAACGAGCGCAACCCCUGUCCUGUGUUGCCAGCGUAGAGCCGGGCACUCACAGGAGACUGCCGGAGAGAAUUCGGAGGAAGGUGGGGAUGACGUCAAAUCAUCAUGGCCCUUAUACCCUGGGCUACACACGUGCUACAAUGGCAGGCACAGAGGGGAGCCAAGGAGCGAUCCGGAGCGAAUCUCAGAAAGCCUGUCCCAGUUCGGAUUGGGGGCUGAAACUCGCCCCCAUGAAGCCGGAAUUGCUAGUAAUCGCGGAUCAGCUACGCCGCGGUGAAUACGUUCCCGGGCCUUGUACACACCGCCCGU